rnacentral:misc_RNA from 1 species
UCAAACUUGGUCAUUUAGAGGAAGUAAAAGUCGUAACAAGGUCUCCGUUGGUGAACCAGCGGAGGGAUCAUUACAGGGCUUUAACCCCCCUAAAACCGUGUUAACAUACCUGUAACGUUGCUUCGGCAGGCCCUAGAGCUCCCCUGGGGGUGCCCUAGAGCGCUGCCGGAGUCCCGAAACACUGCUUCAGCGGACUCUCUGAGUACUCAUGACAAGUAAAAACUUUCAACAAUGGAUCUCUUGGUUCUGGCAUCGAUGAAGAACGCAGC